rnacentral:rRNA from 1 species
AGCGAACGCUAGCGGCGGGCCUAACACAUGCAAGUCGAGCGCAUACCUUCGGGUAUGAGCGGCGGACGGGUGAGUAACACGUAGGUAACCUACCCUUUGGUGGGGAAUAACCCGGGGAAACUCGGGCUAAUGCCGCACGAGGUCUACGGAUCAAAGCCUUCGGGCGCCAGAGGAUGAGCCUGCGUUGCAUUACCUAGUUGGCGGGGUAACGGCCCACCAAGGGGACGAUGCAUAGCUGGUCUGAGAGGAUGAUCAGCCACACUGGGACUGAGACACGGCCCAGACUCCUACGGGAGGCAGCAGUGGGGAAUAUUGCGCAAUGGGGGGAAACCCUGACGCAGCUACGCCGCGUGGGUGAUGAAGGCCUUCGGGUUGUAAAGCCCUGUCGGGAGGGACGGAAUUCUGACGGUACCUCCCAAGAAAGCACCGGCUAACUCCGUGCCAGCAGCCGCGGUAAU